UACGUAGGGGGCAAGCGUUGUCCGGAUUUAUUGGGUUUAAAGGGUGCGUAGGCGGCUUUAUAAGUCCGUGGUGAAAGCCAACAGCUCAACUGUUGAACUGCCAUGGAUACUGUAAGGCUUGAGUACAGACGAGGUAGGCGGAAUGGAUGGUGUAGCGAUGAAAUGCAUAGAUACCAUCCAGAACACCGAUUGCGUAGGCAGCUUACUAGGCUGUAACUGACGCUGAGGCACGAAAGCGUGGGGAGCGAACAGG
rnacentral:rRNA from 1 species